rfam:Capsicum annuum cultivar Zunla-1 chromosome 9, whole genome shotgun sequence
AAACUAUUGGUGAUGUGGACAAUCUCGAAAAACAGCCUUGAAGUAUUCCCAAGCAUGAUAGAGGUUUUUAUCAGGCUUCUAUUUAAAGCUCACUAUCUCACUACGAAGUCU